CCGUCGGCGCACGCGCCGCCCGACGCCCUCAACAACCGCAGAGCGCAGGACGGCGCGGCCGCGGGGCCGAGGCCUGACCUGCCCCUUCUCCAUCAGCGCCUGGAGAUAGAACCUGGAUAUUUUUCUGUUUACCUGGUGGUGCCCAGUCUCUGCCUCAGACACCUUGGAGCUGGAGGGGUGGCCGGGAGAAUUUUCCCUUGGGGCGUUGUACAUAAUGGUUAUUUAAAUCCUAUUUUUUUCCUCUCUCCAUCUCUCCAGAGACAUCUAUAAAGGUUCAUAUUUUGUAUCAGCUUUGACUCCUUGGGCUGAGUGCUUUGGACUUAGUGUUGGGACGGAGCGGGGAGAUACUGUGUCCUGAGAAGACUAGGACUUUGCUGGAGGGAGCAGAAACACCUCAGAGUGGCUUAAAUAACCCGGGUACCCCUUUAGAGAGCCCUCUCUGCCCCAGGCUGGUUGGAGCACCUUUUGGGAUCCUGUAGAUUACUGUGCCUCCUUCACCGCAUCUCUGAGCCCUCUGCGGGAUGCCUCCCCUCCUCCAGCCCCCAGGCUGCGCUGUCCGUCGUUUGGUGAUAGGUAUGUUUCCCUCAUUGGGCUGGGAACUAAUCACUGGACGGGGCCUUUGCCGAUGAGGACUCUGACCUCAGAAUCUCGCAGGACAGGACAGUGCACACGGCAGGCCCUCAAGAAAUAUAUACUGGACAUGUGAAUGUUAGCGACAGUGAGAACACUGGAGGAGACAUCUCUGCUUCUUACCUCGGAGGUGGGGUUUUAGGGAUGGGAAUUUUUGGGUGAGACCUAGAGGUCCCUCCCACCGCCUCCCCGGCCCAGAGCAAUGGAACCUGAGCGCCGGGUGGAACACGAUGUCACAGUGCCCCCUUGUGGUCACCUUCCAUUUUAGAACCCUGGUGUGAGUGAGGCUCUCCCUGCCGGAGGAAGGAGGACCGGGCGGGGAUCCCAACCCCCGUUACCCCGGGGCCCCUGCCCCCCAUGAACAACCAGGCGAGGGCCCCACCCCGCACCUCCGCCCGGGUCUUGGCCUGGGUCCGGGCUUCGACCCCCGUCAGGACCUCGAUCCCUGUCCGGACCCCAACGCCUGCCCGGGCCUCCUCCACUCCUGCCCAGACCCCACAUCCUGCCCAGAUUCCGACCUCGGCCCGGACCCUGAAUCCUGUCCUGAUUCCGACCUCCUCCCGGGCUCCGACUUCCGUCCAGACCCCAGCUCCGGCCAGGACCCCGAAUCCCGUCCAGAUGACCAGCCCGGCCCAAACCCCGACUCCCAUUCCAGCUCUGGCUCGGGCUCCGACUCCCGUCCAGACCUCAGCCUCGGCCCGAAUCCCGAAUCCGGUCCAGACGCCCACCCCGGCUCGAGGCCCGACUCCCAUCCCGACUUUGGCCCGGACCCUGACUCCCGUCCAGACCCCGGCCUCGGCGUGGACCCCGAAUCCGGUCCAGAUGCCGACCCCACCCCGAGCCCCAGUUCCUGUCCCAACCCAGCCCCGGACCCCGACUCCCAUUCAGACCUAUGCCCGGACCCCAACUCCCGUCCAGACUCCGAAUCCCAUCCAGAUGCCGACCCCGCUCCGAACCCUGACUCCUGGCCCGACCCUGGCCGGGCCCCCGGCCCCCCUUCCGACCUCCGCCCGGACCCCGACUCCCGUCCCGACCCUGGCCCGGCCCCCGGCCCCCCUUCCGACCUCCGCCCGGACCCCGACUCCCGUCCCGACCCUGGCCCGGCCCCCGGCCCCCCUUCCGACCUCCGCCCGGACCCCGACUCCCGUCCCGACCCUGGCCCGGCCCCCGGCCCCCCUUCCGACCUCCGCCCGGACCCCGACUCCCGUCCCGACCCUGGCCCGGCCCCCGGCCCCCCUUCCGACCUCCGCCCGGACCCCGACUCCCGUCCAGACCCCGACCCCGCUCGCAAUCCGGACUCCCGUCCGAACUCCAACCCGGAUCCGGACCCCGACUCCCCUGCAGAUGCCGACCCAGGUCCGGGCCCUCAUUCCGGCCCGGACGCCUACUCAGAUCUGGACCCCGACUCCGGCCCGGACCCCAACCCCAAUUUCAUCCCCGGGGGAGGUCGAGGCCGCGGCCGCGGCCCCUGCCUCGGAAUCCUUCGGGAGCUCGGCCCUGCCCCUGGAACCGCCCCCAGAACCUGCCUCGGAGCCCACGACGGCGUCGCCCCACCAGGAUCUUUCGCCCACGCCGAGCGUGAAGCCCCUCCCAUCGGUCACAAAUGGGUUCGGGUCCACCCAAGAGCCCCUUCCUGUCCUCACUCCACCGGCCACUGAUUUCCUGGGGCCCACCCUUGGGUCCACCUCGAGGGCAGACUCCUCGGCCACCAAGUUGACCGAUUCCACAUCGGAAUCCGUUCGGGUGCCCAUCCCGGGGACCGACCCCUUCGCGGCCACCGCCUUACCCACGCCCACCAACACCUUCGCCCCCGUCGGCGAGAGCUGCUCGGUGGACAAGAUCGCGGUUCGAGUGAUCUACUGCGGCCUCUGA
ensembl:lncRNA